GCUGGUGUAAAUGAUGACCCGACUUUUUUCCCCAUCAGAUCGACCUUGCUGAUCUCUUUGCAUUUUUGCCAGUUUAGUUCUGAUGCACCAGC
ensembl:snoRNA small nucleolar RNA, C/D box 12C